UACGUAGGGAGCAAGCGUUGUCCGGAAUCAUUGGGCGUAAAGCGCGCGUAGGCGGUCCGGUAAGUCCGCUGUGAAAGUCGGGGGCUCAACCUCGAAUGCCGGUGGAUACUGUCGGGCUAGAGUGCGGAAGAGGCGAGUGGAAUUCCUGGUGUAGCGGUGGAAUGCGCAGAUAUCAGGAGGAACACCUAUAGCGAAGGCAGCUUGCUGGGACGUUACUGACGCUAAGGCGCGAAAGCGUGGGGAGCGAACAGG
rnacentral:rRNA from 1 species